UAUUUCAGCAGCAUCUCCUUGAGGAGGUCAUAGGUAACCAUCUCUCCGCAGUUCACGAUGGCGUUGCGGGUGAUGUUGGGUAACGUCCCUGAGGCAAAAGACGCAAAGGAUGAAUGGUUUAGAGAGUGACUCUGACCCUACGAGAUCACACUGCUCUUCUGAAAGCAGAGUAGGGCUGGUGAUGACCAUGACUGUAUUAUUAUUAAUCGUGUUUAUUACACCUGUGCCUAAAGGAGCUCUGCUAGGUAACAGGAGUUCUAUGAUACCAGGAUUUUAAGGGAUAAUAAGAAUAAUACUUGCCAUUACAUGGCAUUAUUUAUCCACAGCGGUCAAAGCACUUUACAAAAGUGGCCAAGACUCAUUAUCCCCAUUAUACAGCUGGGGAGAGAGAAGUCCAGAGUUGCACAGCAAUUCAAUGGCAGAGCAAGCAAUGGAACCUGAGAGCCCUUGACUCAGUGCUGGGCUCGGAUAGUUGGAUCACCAUUCCAUCUCGAGCACACAAGGAAAUGGGGAGAGAGUAAGUGAUGAGGCAAACCUGUUUAUUGCAGGUCUGUGGGCUCGCCAUGAACCUUACUUCUGUGAUGCAAGAGGAAAAAGGACAUUCACCCUUGCCCUGGAUGGGAUGUGUCCCCCAUCCAUCGCAGGCAUCCACAGUCCCGCUGUAUUUCUUGGUUCCCUCCGUCAGCCUCACUUGGGCUUGGAAUCGCACCUUGACCACGUCGGUCGGCUGGGCACACGUGACUGCCAUGGCUCCGGUGGUGCAGCCAGCCAGCAACCGGGCUUGGACUCUCCCUGGAUCUUCAAGACGGACAGACAGACAUCAUUAUUAGCAGAUGGCAAUUCACCUCUAGUGCAGCCAGCUAGAUCCUGCUCCUGAAACCUUUAUUCAUGUGAGUAGUUCAAGUAAAGUCAUCCAUGAGUAAGGGUUUGCAGAGAUGGGCCCAUUAGCUAGGAGAGUUCAUAAGCUGUAAGCUCAGUUCAUGGUAGUUUGGGGCAUGUACUGAGCUAGGAAGGUAUUAAAUUGUCAUUUAUAUAUGCAUUCAACCUGCAGUUGCGUUUUUGAUCAGUGAACUAGUUGCAAGGCUAUAAUUGUCAUACAUUUACACAUCAGAUUCCAUCCAGCUGGAUACCAAAGCACUUUGCAAAAGGACUGUGCAAGCGAUAUACCGUCGUCAUCUCUUUGCUCACCACUGAAAUGCAGCCACCUCUGGGGUAGAGUGUGGCAGCUGUUUAUCAGUCUACAGCAACGUUACAGGCCAAAUCAAGUCAGGAACUGAAGAGGCCUACCGUAUCCAGCUGAAAAUGGUGGAGCACAUAAGUAGCCUAGAUGUAAUUAUCAAUGAUGGAAUUUGGCCAGAAUGCCAGAGUGAUGGUGGGAGGCUAAAUUAAUUCAUGUUCGUAAAGUGCUUUGAGAUCAGAUAGAAAAUGUUCUCCAAUAUCAAUGCAAAGAGGGUGAAAUUCACCCUGGUGCAGGGGGACAACACAAGGCCUAGGUACCAUUUCAGAUCCACUUUGAGGGCUUGGGGCAGAUCCUCAGCUGGGGUAAACUCUCACAGGCUCAUUGACUUCCAAGUGACAGUCUACCCCGGCUGAGGUUCUGCUCUCUUAAGUGGUCCCUAGCUCUUGUGCUGGGGCCUCUGCAUGGGGUGGAUUUCACUCAGAACUAUAGUCAAGUCAUGUCUGUAAAAAAAGUUAUCCGUGGUUUCCGUUAAUCACAUUACAGCAGAAAAACAACCUGGACUUGCUGAGAAGAAUACUACGGAGACGUCUCUAGGCACCCACAGAUUUGCAGGGUACACAACAAACAUCAUCUGAAAUCAAACCAGAUAUGUUAGAGCCUGAUCCAACUCCCGCUGAUGUCUUUACAUUAACUUUUAAUGGGAAUUGGAUUGACCCUUAAAGGUAACAGAUGGGAGGAAAAAAGACCUAGUCUGUUUCUCAGCAAGCGCUGGAUUUGUCCAAUGAUUUAAUAUAAAAUGCCUUUCACUCAAUUUGAGAGACCACAUGGGUCAGAGGAUUGGGACUUGGAUUGGGACUUGGGAGCGCUCGAUUCUGUGCCCAGCUCUGCUGCUGACCUGCUAUAUGACUCAGAACAAAUCUCUUUGUCUUGACUAUUUCGACUGUUGUCUCUUUGGAGCAGGAACUGUCUCCCACUACGCAUCUAUACAUUGUGCCUGACACAGCUGAGUCCCAGUAUCCUUGUACUAUAGUAAUACCAACAAGAAC